GGGAGGGGGGGAGGGGGUCCAAAAUGGGGUUAAAACCCGAAAAUUUGGGAUUUUUUGACGGGAAGAGGCGGAAUUGGGGCCAAAAAUGGGACUCUGCAGCCUCGGAAAUGGGGGUUGGGGUGCGAAAUUUGGGGAUGUGGCCACAGUGUGGCGUUUGGAGCCUUAAAAAUGGGGGUGUGAGACGUAAAAUGUGGGGUUUUGACCCCAAAAUGGGGUUUGGAACCUUAAAAAUCGGAGUCUGGGGCAGAAAAAAUGGAGUUUUAACCCCAAAAUGGGGUUUGGAGCAUCAAAAAUUGGUGUUUGAGGCGUAAAAUUUGGGGUAUUGGUUCCAAAAAUGGGGGUUUGGGAGGUGAAAAAUGGGGGUUUGAGGCACAAAAUGUGGGGGUUUGACCCCAAAAUGGGGUUUGGAGCAUCAAAAAUUGGUGUUUGAGGCGUAAAAUUUGGGGUAUUGGUUCCAAAAAUGGGGGUUUGGGAGGUGAAAAAUGGGGGUUUGAGGCACAAAAUGUGGGGGUUUGACCCCAAAAUGGGGUUUGGAGCAUCAAAAAUUGGUGUUUGAGGCGUAAAAUUUGGGGUAUUGGUUCCAAAAAUGGGGUUUGGGAGGUGAAAAAUGGGGGUGUGAGGCACAAAAUGUGGGGGUUUGACCCCAAAAUGGGGUUUGGAGCAUCAAAAAUUGGUGUUUGAGGCGUAAAAUUUGGGGUAUUGGUUCCAAAAAUGGGGGUUUGGGAGGUGAAAAAUGGGGGUUUG
rnacentral:lncRNA from 1 species